AACAACAACAAUUACAACAUAGUAUUCCACUCGCAACCAUAAGAGAUAAGUGAGAGAGAUUUGCUCGAAAACCUUAAAAUCAACCCUGAAGAACACCAAGCUCGUGGCGAUCCUUGUCCUCCAGGUCAUCCUGGUCAUGGGAAUCCUCACACACGUGAAUGCCAACUACUUCCCCAAGUGUUGCGACAAAUGCAGGUAAUUCUCGGGGGUCGAUGUAUGUGACGACGCCCAUCCUCAGUGCCCCAAGGGCUGCUCCACAUGCCGAGCGGUGCAGACAGGCCGUGUCAAGACGUUCCGGUGUGCCGACAUGCGCUCCACCAUCAAUGGCACGUGCGGCCCACGUUGCAAAAAAAAACUAACCGGUUCAACUCAUAUCACAAGACUUGUUCCGCCAAUAAUAAAAGCUCACAUAAUAUGAGCAUUGUCAUCGUGUUUAUGCGUACAUGUGGCCUCACAAUGCAUGUACUAUUGUCGGCCGUCGUCGUCUUCGUCGUUAUUGUUUCUAUCUGUCUCUUCGAGACUAAGUUGUUGUUUCUCGCCGAUCAGGUGCUCGUUCUAUCUUCCGUGAAUAAACACCUGUGUUAAUUGUGUGUCUCCGUUUAAAGAUAA